UUCAUGUUGGCAGAUUAAUGCUGUUGACUUAAGCUCAACCAAUGGAGGUUACUCCACAUGACA
rnacentral:tRNA from 1 species